rnacentral:rRNA from 1 species
CUUGACAUCCAGCGAACUUUCCAGAGAUGGAUUGGUGCCUUCGGGAACGCUGAGACAGGUGCUGCAUGGCUGUCGUCAGCUCGUGUUGUGAAAUGUUGGGUUAAGUCCCGNAACGAGCGCAACCCUUAUCCUUUGUUGCCAGCGAUUCGGUCGGGAACUCAAAGGAGACUGCCGGUGAUAAACCGGAGGAAGGUGGGGAUGACGUCAAGUCAUCAUGGCCCUUACGAGUAGGGCUACACACGUGCUACAAUGGCGCAUACAAAGAGAAGCGACCUCGCGAGAGCAAGCGGACCUCAUAAAGUGCGUCGUAGUCCGGAUCGGAGUCUGCAACUCGACUCCGUGAAGUCGGAAUCGCUAGUAAUCGUGGAUCAGAAUGCCACGGUGAAUACGUUCCCGGGCCUUGUACACACCGCCCGUCACACCAUGGGAGUGGGUUGCAAAAGAAGUAGGUAGCUUAACCUCCGGGAGGGCGCUUACCACUUUGUGAUUCAUGACUGGGGUGAAGUCGUAACAAGGUAGGCGUAGUGCU